CCCGUGAGGUGCCAAGUGUGAAGAAAGCCUGUGGGUCUGAGACAUCUCACGGAUGGACUUCGAGACACCAGUGCACAUGUUUUUUUCCUUAAUUCUCACCUUGCCUCCCUGCAGAACCAAUAAGGAAAUGAAAUAAGGACCGUACAGAAAGGGAAAGAAUCGAGGACUAUGUCCACCUUUUUUGUUUCUAAGGCCUGUUAACCCUUGUUUCUGUCUCUGACAGCAGAACCAGUGGAUGGAACAAACAGCCUCCCGUGUAGGAAAGACACUAACGGUUUUUCUCCAACAGGACGGAAAGACAGCAGAAGAGCUCGCUAAAUCAGAGCAGCACGAACACAUAGCAGGUCUGCUUGCAAGACUCCGAAAGGACGCUCACCGGGGACUCUUCAUCCAGCAGCUGCGACCCACGCAGAACCUCCAAUCCAGGAUCAAACUGAAGCUGUUUGGCCACUCGGGCUCCGGGAAAACCACGCUGGUGGAAUCGCUCAAGUGUGGGCUGCUGAGAAGCUUCUUCCGGAGACGCCGGCCCAGACUGUCCUCUGCCAGCUCCACCAGGUUCCCGCCCUUCCCGCUGGCUUCCAAGCCCGCAGGCGAGAAGCACCCACAGGCAAGAAGUGCAGGGUGGCCUGUGGAUGCCUGAGAAGCACCCACAGGAAGCAUGACGGAACUGUACCACUUGAGAUGCUAUUUCUCCUAAGUGCUCUGGAGUGAGGGAAUUCCAUUUUGCACAGGUGGAAGAAUCUGGAAGUAGAUUCUUGAUAAACUGUGGCUCAGGAAGGCCGUGUUAUCACCCAGGGUCACGAGUGUGGCGGCGUCCUUCAGCCAGGGCCGAGAGAGACUGGGUCAUGGGACUCAGUGACGGAAGAUUCUGGCAGGACCAUGUCCGCUCUGGACCAGAGAGGCCUCGCCAGCCACGGAAGGACUCCCAUGCACGGACUCCCACUGUGUCCCUCAUAAACAGACAACAUGUGAGUGCCUUUGCAGAAGAGGGUGUGUCUGAGAGCAGCCGGGUCAGCCAGGAGCUGUCGCCAGGAGACGCCCCCUCUCUGUCCCUUGCUGUCUGCUGAUCACCGCUGGAGGUGCUGCGUUCUGAGCUGGUUUGUCCCCCAGUAGUUUUUGUGUUUCACUUGGCAAGGAAAGGGGAGGAAGGAACCCUCUUCUGAGUCAUUUCACGGCUGGUGGUUUUUUCACAGAAAGACGUGUCUUUGUUGCUCUUGUUUAAACGUCGGCGUGCAGGUCCACGCGGCACCUGCCCAUGGUUCCCUUGCCUCAUUCCUGAUCAUCUCAGGUAGAAGGUGACACAGCUGCAGGUGAGGAAGGCCUGUGGGAGAACUCGGAAGACCCCUGCCCCGUGGCGUGUGGCAGUCUGUUGUCAUCGGUGCACAGCGGACGAUUUUCACAUCUAGCUCCUGGUUCCAUACCUUCGUGUACUUGAAGUCCAACAAGAUGAAGGAAGUCAGUUUCCUUGCAGUUGUGAUGGAGUUUUAAGUUGAUAUGAGGGAACGUGUCCUAAUUCUUCUGUCCUGGGAAGCAUGUAAUUUUAAUGUUCCAUUCCAUGUGUGUAUAUGUGUAUAUAUACAUAAAUAUGCAGUAUGUAUAUACAUAUAUAUGAAUACAGGUAUUUUUACUUAAUCUAUACAAGGUAGUAAAAAGAUGUUGGUUUCUCACUUCUGUUCUCUUUUUUUCUUUUCCCUCUUUUUAGUAUAAAUAAACUAUUGCUUGUUGCAUUC